rnacentral:rRNA from 1 species
CGACGCUCUUCCGAUCUGUGGAUUAGGCAUGCAAGUCGUGCGCGAAAGCCUUCGGGCGAGUAAAGCGGCGAAAGGGUGAGUAACACGUAACCAACCUACCCCCCUGAUUGGGAUAACUGUGGGAAACUGCAGGUAAUACCGAAUGGUCCUAUACGGUGGCAUCAUCGAAUAGGUAAACGGUGGCUUCGGCUGCCGCAGGGGGAGGGGGUUGCGGCCUAUCAGCUAGUUGGUGUGGUAAUGGCAUACCAAGGCGAUGACGGGUAGCCGGUCUGAGAGGAUGGUCGGUCACACUGGGACUGAGACACUGCCCAGACUCCUACGGGAGGCUGCAGUCGAGAAUCUUCCGCAAUGGGCGAAAGCCUGACGGAGCGACGCCGCGUGUAGGAUGAAGGCUCUAGGGUUGUAAACUACUGUCACGCUAUAGGAAUGCCUUGUUUUUUAAGAGAUGCGAGGUUGACCAAAGCGAAAGGAAGCACCGGCUAACUCCGUGCCAGCAGCCGCGGUAAGACGGAGGGUGCAAACGUUGUUCGGAAUCAUUGGGCAUAAAGGGCACGUAGGCGGCCCAGUCAGUCAGUUGUGAAAGCCCACGGCUCAACCGUGGAACUGCAUCUGAUACUGCUGGGCUAGAGACUGGUUGGGGUGAGUGGAACUCCUGGUGGAGCGGUGAAAUGCGUAGAUAUCAGGAGGAACACCAGUGGCGAAAGCGGCUCACUGGACCAGUACUGACGCUGAGGUGCGAAAGCUAGGGUAGCGAACGGGAUUAGAUACCCCGGUAGUCCUAGCCGUAAACGAUGGGUACUAGGUAGGGGGGACGCCUAUGGUCUUCUCUAUCGGAGCAAAUGUGUUAAGUACCCCGCCUGGGGAGUACGCUCGCAAGAGUAAAAC